CAGUCGCCACGGUAAUACGGAGGGUGCAAGCGUUAAUCGGAAUUACUGGGCGUAAAGCGCACGCAGGCGGUCUGUCAAGUCAGAUGUGAAAUCCCCGGGCUUAACCUGGGAACUGCAUUUGAAACUGGCAGGCUAGAGUCUUGUAGAGGGGGGUAGAAUUCCAGGUGUAGCGGUGAAAUGCGUAGAGAUCUGGAGGAAUACCGGUGGCGAAGGCGGCCCCCUGGACAAAGACUGACGCUCAGGUGCGAAAGCGUGGGGAGCAAACAGGAUUAGAUACCCGCGUAGUCCCUGUCUCUUAUAC
rnacentral:rRNA from 1 species